UACAGAGGGCUCAAGCGUUGUUCGGAUUCAUUGGGCGUAAAGGGCGUGUAGGCGGCGCCGUAAGUCGGGUGUGAAAUUUCGGAGCUUAACUCCGAAACUGCAUUCGAUACUGCGGUGCUUGAGGACUGGAGAGGAGACUGGAAUUCAUGGUGUAGCGGUGAAAUGCGUAGAGAUCAUGAGGAAGACCAGUGGCGAAGGCGGGUCUCUGGACAGUUCCUGACACUGAGACACGAAGGCCAGGGGAGCAAACGGG
rnacentral:rRNA from 1 species